rnacentral:rRNA from 1 species
UGGGGAAUAUUGCACAAUGGGCGAAAGCCUGAUGCAGCGACGCCGCGUGAGGGAUGAUGGCCUUCGGGUUGUAAACCUCUUUCAGCAGGGACGAAGCGCAAGUGACGGUACCUGCAGAAGAAGCACCGGCUAACUACGUGCCAGCAGCCGCGGUAAUACGUAGGGUGCAAGCGUUGUCCGGAAUUACUGGGCGUAAAGAGUUCGUAGGCGGUUUGUCGCGUCGUUUGUGAAAACCAGCAGCGCAACUGCUGGCUUGCAGGCGAUACGGGCAGACUUGAGUACUGCAGGGGAGACUGGAAGUCCUGGUGUAGCGGUGAAAUGCGCAGAUAUCAGGAGGAACACCGGUGGCGAAGGCGGGUCUCUGGGCAGUAACUGACGCUGAGGAACGAAAGCGUGGGUAGCGAACAGG